rnacentral:piRNA from 1 species
UGGAAACCCACAUAAACCUAGAGGUCACA